rnacentral:rRNA from 1 species
UACGUAGGGUCCGAGCGUUGUCCGGAGUUACUGGGCGUAAAGCGCGCGCAGGCGGCCCGCGAGGUGUCACGUGAAAGCCCCGGGCUCAACUCGGGAGGGUCGUGGCAAACCGGCGGGCUUGAGGCCGGUAGAGGUGGGUGGAACUCCUGGUGGAGUGGUGAAGUGCGUAGAGAUCAGGAAGAACACCCGUGGCGAAGGCGGCCCACUGGGCCGGUACUGACGCUGAGGCGCGAAGGCGUGGGGAGCGAACGGG